AGAGUUUGAUCCUGGCUCAGGAUGAACGCUAGCGGCAGGCCUAACACAUGCAAGUCGAGGGAGAGGUUACCUUCGGGUAACCAAAACCGGCGCACGGGUGCGUAACGCGUAUACAAUCUGCCUUUCACAUAGGGAUAGCCCGAAGAAAUUUGGAUUAAUACCUAAUGGUAUAUAAGAGCGGCAUCGUUUUUAUAUUAAAGCUACGGUGGUGAAAGAUGAGUAUGCGUUCUAUUAGCUAGUUGGAGAGGUAACGGCUCCCCAAGGCGACGAUAGAUAGGGGUUCUGAGAGGGAUGUCCCCCACACUGGUACUGAGAUACGGACCAGACUCCUACGGGAGGCAGCAGUGAGGAAUAUUGGACAAUGGUCGGAAGACUGAUCCAGCCAUGCCGCGUGCAGGAUGAAGGUCCUAUGGAUUGUAAACUGCUUUUGUAAGGGAAGAAUAAGGAGUACGUGUACUUUGAUGACGGUACCUUACGAAUAAGCAUCGGCUAACUCCGUGCCAGCAGCCGCGGUAAUACGGAGGAUGCGAGCGUUAUCCGGAAUCAUUGGGUUUAAAGGGUCCGUAGGCGGGCUGAUAAGUCAGAGGUGAAAGCGCUUAGCUCAACUAAGCAACUGCCUUUGAAACUGUCAGUCUUGAAUGAUUGUGAAGUAGUUGGAAUGUGUAGUGUAGCGGUGAAAUGCUUAGAUAUUACACAGAACACCGAUAGCGAAGGCAUAUUACUAACAAUUUAUUGACGCUGAUGGACGAAAGCGUGGGGAGCGAACAGGAUUAGAUACCCUGGUAGUCCACGCU
rnacentral:rRNA from 1 species